rnacentral:misc_RNA from 1 species
ACUUAAAAUCAUCUUCAUCUCUAAUAACAUGAGGAUGAAUAGAAGGGAUAACAGUGAAAAAUCUGUUGCUGGCGUCAAUAAUCAAGCUUUCUUUGAUGGAAGGGUCAUGUGUGGUACUAUUUAAUAAACUCUGGAUUUCUGUCAAUGCCUCAAAACCCUUCUGGAUAUUAUUUUUGCUUAAUUUCCCAAGUGGCAUUUCUGACAUAUUAAUCUCAAAUUCCAUCAUUGCAGCCCUGUAUGCUUCCACAUUAAAGAGCAUCUUCAUCAAUUCCACAAGUGGAUGAGGAAGUUGGCUGUCUGCGCCACUCCUAUUUUUAUGCUUCAGCUGUUUGUUAACUCCGUAGUCAAUGUCCAAUGGGAAGAAUUUGCCAGGUUUCUUCUGAAAAUUCUGCUUUUGUUCCCAUGCCUCCCAUGAAUUUCCAGUUUUCUCAAGGAAUAAACGUUCAAAUUCACUGACCGCAUCUGAUUUUGACAUCUCUUCAAGUUUAAUUCCUCCAAUUUUGUC